UUAGCUACAGGCUUAACACAUGCAAGUCGAGGGGCAUCAGGAUGAAAGCUUGCUUUCUUUGCUGGCGACCGGCGCACGGGUGAGUAACACGUAUCCAACCUGCCCUUUACUCGGGGAUAGCCUUUCGAAAGAAAGAUUAAUACCCGAUAGCAUAAUGAUUCCGCAUGGUUUCAUUAUUAAAGGAUUCCGGUAAAGGAUGGGGAUGCGUUCCAUUAGGUUGUUGGUGAGGUAACGGCCCACCAAGCCUUCGAUGGAUAGGGGUUCUGAGAGGAAGGUCCCCCACAUUGGAACUGAGACACGGUCCAAACUCCUACGGGAGGCAGCAGUGAGGAAUAUUGGUCAAUGGGCGCUAGCCUGAACCAGCCAAGUAGCGUGAAGGAUGAAGGCUCUAUGGGUCGUAAACUUCUUUUAUAUAAGAAUAAAAUGCAGUAUGUAUACUGUUUUGUAUGUAUUAUAUGAAUAAGGAUCGGCUAACUCCGUGCCAGCAGCCGCGGUAAUACGGAGGAUCCGAGCGUUAUCCGGAUUUAUUGGGUUUAAAGGGAGCGUAGGUGGACUGGUAAGUCAGUUGUGAAAGUUUGCGGCUCAACCGUAAAAUUGCAGUUGAUACUGUCAGUCUUGAGUACAGUAGAGGUGGGCGGAAUUCGUGGUGUAGCGGUGAAAUGCUUAGAUAUCACGAAGAACUCCGAUUGCGAAGGCAGCUCACUGGACUGCAACUGACACUGAUGCUCGAAAGUGUGGGUAUCAAACAGGAUUAGAUACCCUGGUAGUCCACACAGUAAACGAUGAAUACUCGCUGUUUGCGAUAUACAGUAAGCGGCCAAGCGAAAGCAUUAAGUAUUCCACCUGGGGAGUACGCCGGCAACGGUGAAACUCAAAGGAAUUGACGGGGGCCCGCACAAGCGGAGGAACAUGUGGUUUAAUUCGAUGAUACGCGAGGAACCUUACCCGGGCUUAAAUUGCAGUGGAAUGAUGUGGAAACAUGUCAGUGAGCAAUCACCGCUGUGAAGGUGCUGCAUGGUUGUCGUCAGCUCGUGCCGUGAGGUGUCGGCUUAAGUGCCAUAACGAGCGCAACCCUUAUCUUUAGUUACUAACAGGUUAUGCUGAGGACUCUAGAGAGACUGCCGUCGUAAGAUGUGAGGAAGGUGGGGAUGACGUCAAAUCAGCACGGCCCUUACGUCCGGGGCUACACACGUGUUACAAUGGGGGGUACAGAAGGCAGCUAGCGGGUGACCGUAUGCUAAUCCCAAAAUCCUCUCUCAGUUCGGAUCGAAGUCUGCAACCCGACUUCGUGAAGCUGGAUUCGCUAGUAAUCGCGCAUCAGCCACGGCGCGGUGAAUACGUUCCCGGGCCUUGUACACACCGCCCGUCAAGCCAUGGGAGCCGGGGGUACCUGAAGUACGUAACCGCAAGGAUCGUCCUAGGGUAAAACUGGUGACUGGG
rnacentral:rRNA from 1 species